rnacentral:lncRNA from 1 species
AGGUAUUCCCCAUGCGCUGGCUAAAUGGUAGCCGUAUAUCAUAUGCGUGUAUAUGUACCUGCCACGUACGUGUCCACAAGCUUCACAUUCUUAAUUAAUAUUUAUACCUAUUAAACCAAGAUAGUAAUUUUCAAAAAUUAGAUCAGAAGCCUGCAAAAAUCAUGAGCACCGCAAAGGUAUAAGUAAAUAAUAGGUUGUAUGGUACAUAUUUAUUUAUUUAUUUAUUUACUAUAUGGUUACCAAUUUUAUUUUGUGAACUCAGGCUACUGAAAAGAUUAAUGAUAAAGGGGUAUUAGAGACUAGGGUUGAGACGGUGGAUUUUCGGUCACCGGCGGGGAAAAAUGAAGAAGAAGCUGUGAAAAGGGACGUGGUGGUGGUCCAUCAGAGUGAAGAUUCCGGCACCGGAACCGGAGGUUGUCGGAAUGUUUUUGUGGAUGCAGCUGCCGCAGUGGCUAGCAAAGUUGGACCUGGAAAAGAUGAUAUAUAGCUCUGGUGGGAAACAAUGGAAUAUGAUGUGAAGAACAUGUAUGUAGUAUGUAUUGAAUAAAAGUUCACUGUACUUGAUAAAAGAAUACAUACCUUUCUUCGUGGCUUUUCAUUUUGGAGUUUUGCGAUUUUGUGAUAAUAAUAAUAAAAAAUAUUCCUUUUUCUUGUGCUAUAUUUUACAAUAACAAAAUUAAAUAAUUUUUAAAUAUUAUUUA